rnacentral:rRNA from 1 species
UACAGAGGUGGCAAGCGUUGUUCGGAAUUACUGGGCGUAAAGGGCGCGUAGGCGGCCCGUCAAGUCCCGUGUGAAAGCCCCCGGCUCAACCGGGGAACUGCACGGGAAACUAGCAGGCUUGAGUUCGGGAGAGGGAAGCGGAAUUUCGGGUGUAGCGGUGAAAUGCGCAGAUAUCCGAAGGAACACCGGUGGCGAAGGCGGCUUCCUGGACCGACAUUGACGCUGAUGAGCGAAAGCCAGGGGAGCAAACGGG